AACACCUCAACACUCACUCGAUUUGUUUCGAAAUGAGUAUUGGACUUGAGCAAACCCAACGCCUUUCUGCUAGCCAGACUUGCGGCGGGUUGCUUGAAAUGCAGGUGCAGCUGAGUUUUCUUCUGAGCUAAUAGCAUACUUAAUUAGUCCCGUAAAAAGGAUUAUUAAUCUGCUGAAGCUUACACCAAAGGAAGAGCUCUUGACUGACUGAUGCAGAAUUACACAUGGCCGGUAAAACGGCUUUGUAA
rnacentral:misc_RNA from 1 species